rnacentral:misc_RNA from 1 species
GUGAAUCAUCAAAUCUUUGAACGCAAAUUGCACUCUCUUGGAUGCCGAAGAGUAUUCCUGUUUGAGGGUCAGUUUAAAUAAAAAUCGUUGUUUUUGCUGCCUUGCGUGUUGACGCAUCUGUUUUGUGUCGUCUUACCUUCGGUUAAGUGACCUUUUAUUUUGCAUUAUUUCUCGAACGUAUUUAAAUAAUUUACGUAUUUUUGCGAUAUCUUAUACUAUGGGUGGUCAUCCUCAUGAUUCUCGUCUAUAUUUUUUCAUCAAAAUGUCCUCAAAUCAGGUAUGAGUACCCCCU